UGGCGUCAGCGUUUGGAUGCUGAUUAUGG
rnacentral:piRNA from 1 species